AUCGAGGGGUCGGUUGCCUGCUGUGUUGACCAGGGGUUCGGUCUUUCUCUUCGGUUUCUUGUUGCGAUUCUUCACUUGGUGGUGGUCUCCAGCUUCCUCGCCGUCUGAGCUGCGUCAGUGACGGUGGCUCUUGGACGCCGCCGCUUUGUCCGCUUGUUUUCUCCAGGGCUGUUUGUUCCCCGCUCUGAUUGCCUGCCAGCUUCCUUCAGAUCUGGAGGUCUCGCGGCCGUAAAAAAUCGGCGUGCUGUGGUUGGACGGGUGAGGCCACUAGGAGAUGCUGAUGGCAAGGUAGAAGAGAGGAAACGCGGUCGGGCGGUACCCAGAACCCACUGGCAAAUACAAAUUACUGAGUUUGGUUCGCCUGUGCUUCAGACAAACUCUUUGCGCUGGCCUAUUCUCCUUUGAUGCUCACUCUUUGUCAUCACCUGGCUGGUUGCAGCAUCGAGUUUGGUUCCUGGAUCGGAGUGCUAAAUUCUGGCAACGACGGCAUCCGGAUCGCCAAUCGGCCAUCACUCUGUCACAUAAGGUUCAGGCAUGGAAACCAAUCAGUACAUUGAGAUGUAGUAUAUAGGGGCAAACCUUUGGACUAACGAUGACACCAUCUUUUGGUAAAUAUAUCUUGUUGGGUAUAAGAGUGGUGAGCCUGAGCUGGAUUCUCUUACCAUGAUAUUUCAGGUGGAACAGUAUUUUAUCCAUUAUGUCAUUAACUGGAGUUUUUGGGAGCAUGUUCGAAUUCUCGGGAGUUUGGACUUCUAAUGUUCAUGGAAAAUUUGACUUUCUUGUGGCAUAGGCAUGCACAUCAAAUAUGGGUGAGGAAAGGAAGUCGGGUUACUUCAUAAGAAAGGAAAUGAUGACAUUACAGUGUUAAGAAAAUGUCAUAACCACAAGUUUUACAGUUCCUCCUGGAUAUGUUUCUUGGCUGACCAGACACUUAGACCAACCUGCCUUUGUGGUCACAGGGUGAUGACAUUCGUUUGUCUAGAAGGUUUAGAUACGGAAGUUCUAGCAACUACUGAAGGAAGAACCAAUGUACUAUUAAUUUUCAGUACUUGGAAACCAGCCCGAUUGUGAAACAAUACUACUUGCCUACUUACCAUAGACGUGAGCUGUGUUUCACAUUACGGAUGAAGGCGAUGGAAGGUGAUUUCCCACCCUAUACUUACAAGUUCAGGACUGGUAAGGGCAUAAUCGAUGUACUGGGAUAUGGAUAAGACAUACUCCGUAAUCGAUAUACUGUGAAUGUGGUGUGCACCUUUUUAGCAAGAUA